rnacentral:rRNA from 1 species
ACACCCGGUUACAUUCCGAACCCGGUAGUUAAGCCCUCCAGCGCCGAUGGUACUGCACUGGGGACGGUGUGGGAGAGUAGGUCACCGCCGGAC